rfam:Firmicutes bacterium CAG:882 genomic scaffold, scf6
UUUGGGAGAAGUUUAGAUGUUCUUAUAACUCUGUUCACAGAUUAGCCAAAGCCAACAUGGAUGUUGGCUUAGAUGCCAAAGUCCAUGGAUGGACGGCUGGCAUCGGUGGCGUAUAUGGAUGUAAGGUAAAUCAGAGUUCUUAGAACAUCUUGCUUCGGACAAU